ensembl:lncRNA
AUCAGAUGUAAUAAUUACACGUUGUAGGAAUGUUGUAAAACUCCAUGUCAAACUGCAGAAGGAGGAGGUAGGCCAUUAAGGAGAUGAAAUACAGCUGGUUCAUUGAUAGUAGUUAGGUCGUUAGCUAGUUAACAUUUCACACAGAUUGCCAGGGUCCAGUAAGCAACUACGUUAACAAUAUAACUUGAGGAACGGCAAGAAGUCGUAUACCAGUUAAUACUAUAGCGAGUUGGUUCGUUUACUAACGUUAGCUUAUCCGAUGUUGUAACGUUCCUGUUAGCUAGUUGUCUGACUUCAUUACCCAGCUAAUUCUCACACCAUAAACUCAAUUAUUUGAUCAGCUAAAUUGGAUAGUGUUGCUCAACAUUUCUCUGGCUAGCUAACGCGGAGAAUUCAAUCCAACUAGCAAUAUACAAUGCUAACAAUUCUUGUUCCAUCACACUUGCUCCCUCACCUCAAACUUUCCAAAUGCCAUUGUUUUUCAGUUACAGGUCAUGAAGUAGCUUCAUCACCUUCUCACCCCAGUCUCCGUGGUCAGGCUUCUCACCUACCUCUUCGUUAUCGUUCAGGGGACGCGCUGCUGUAACUGGCAAACUGCCUUUCCACACGCUGCUGUCUUUCCAGAGCGAGCGCUGAUGCUGUAACUGCUGGUUGUCUCUUCUCUCUUCAGUCGCAUGCUGCAUUCUGUUGUAAUGUGACUGAUUGACUGAGCCUUGGAUACAGCCAGUAUUACUCCAAAUGCGCAUCAGUCAUUUGCUUACAGCCAGUAGUGGUCCAAAGCCCUCCCUCCCAAACUUUUCUCAUCAGCUCUACACGAAUCAUGCCCAAUCCAACCAAUAGAGUUUGACGUCACAAUGAGAAAGGACCAGAAGGAAACGCGACGGAGAGGCCAUAGUUGGUUUAUAAAGAUGCGCCAUGGUCUGAUGUGGGGUGAUGUUCCCUGCCCCAGCCUGAGUAGGUGGUGCUGGGAGGCAGCUUGCUCUCCUCUCCCUGCCUGACAGGAGCACGAUGACAGAGGAGACCAGGGAACCCAGCCACCCGGUCCCCACUCAAGCGGGCAUCCUUGGGGUGACGUUCACAGCCUCCGGAAGAGGGACCCUCUGCACACAUCAACAACAGUCACCCACGAAGCACCGUUACCCAUCGCUCCACAAAAGCCACGGCCCUUGCAGAGCAAGGGGAACAACGACUUCAAGGUCUCAGAGCGAGUGACGUCACCGAUUGAAACGCUAUUAGCACGCACCCCUCUAACCAUUUCACACCGGUUACAUGUGCAUGCGUGGAUGCGUGGGCAGACAGAGUGCAUGCAAAUUCGUGCGUGUGCAUUUUAAAGCAUCAUGAAGAACCUUGAGUGUGGAACAGCAGGGGCAUUUGGUGGCGUGCUUGUCAGGGACACACAGUUCCUGUUGGCUGAUCAGCUUCGCUCUGUCCUCUGCUGAAUCACCCAUCCUAUCCAGUCAGACACAGGACAGCACACUGCAUCUCAGCUGGCUCACCG